rnacentral:rRNA from 1 species
UGAGGAAUAUUGGUCAAUGGACGAGAGUCUGAACCAGCCAAGUAGCGUGAAGGAUGAAGGUUCUAUGGAUUGUAAACUUCUUUUAUACGGGAAUAAACGAAUCCACGUGUGGAUUUUUGCAUGUACCGUAUGAAUAAGGAUCGGCUAACUCCGUGCCAGCAGCCGCGGUAAUACGGAGGAUCCGAGCGUUAUCCGGAUUUAUUGGGUUUAAAGGGAGCGUAGAUGGGUUGUUAAGUCAGUUGUGAAAGUUUGCGGCUCAACCGUAAAAUUGCAAUUGAUACUGGCAGUCUUGAGUACAGUUGAGGUAGGCGGAAUUCGUGGUGUAGCGGUGAAAUGCUUAGAUAUCACGAAGAACUCCGAUUGCGAAGGCAGCUUACUAACCUGUAACUGACAUUGAUGCUCGAAAGUGUGGGUAUCAAACAGGAUUAGAUACCCUGGUAGUCCACACGGUAAACGAUGAAUACUCGCUGUAGGCGAUAUACUGUCUGCGGCCAAGCGAAAGCAUUAAGUAUUCCACCUGGGGAGUACGCCGGCAACGGUGAAACUCAAAGGAAUUGACGGGGGCCCGCACAAGCGGAGGAACAUGUGGUUUAAUUCGAUGAUACGCGAGGAACCUUACCCGGGCUUAAAUUGCAACCGAAUAUGGCGGAAACGCUAUAGCUAGCAAUAGCGGUUGUGAAGGUGCUGCAUGGUUGUCGUCAGCUCGUGCCGUGAGGUGUCGGCUUAAGUGCCAUAACGAGCGCAACCCUUGCCGAUAGUUACUAACAGGUCAUGCUGAGGACUCUGUCGGGACUGCCAUCGUAAGAUGUGAGGAAGGUGGGGAUGACGUCAAAUCAGCACGGCCCUUACGUCCGGGGCUACACACGUGUUACAAUGGGGGGUACAGAGGGCUGCUACCACGCAAGUGGAUGCCAAUCCCAAAAACCUCUCUCAGUUCGGAUUGAAGUCUGCAACCCGACUUCAUGAAGCUGGAUUCGCUAGUAAUCGCGCAUCAGCCACGGCGCGGUGAAUACGUUCCC